rnacentral:lncRNA from 1 species
GUAGAAAAAGGGGGGAAAACGGAGGUUGACUGAAAAUUUUGUGAAAGGGGCCACUGAUUUGUGCCACGAUUACAUAAUCCGUUGUGUAUGGUGCAAUGCGCUACGGAAUCGAGCAAUUGAUGUCUUCUUUAUUAUAUGGCAGAUAAAACAACAAAAUAGAUGAAGACUAAAAGUAGUUUUUAUUCAAAAUUCAACACAAAUGUAAUAAAUUACACCUUUUACCUGUUAAUUACCU